UCCGGGCGCUCAGACCCAGGGACCCUCGGACUCUGGGACAUAGACAGGUACACUACUGCCAUAAGGGACUCCCAGAUGCCCAGGCCGAAUGGUGCACGCCUGGCCAUGCACAGUGAUGAGCACAAAGGACCAGGCCUCUCCCGCCUCUUUGCUGUUCCUCAACGUGCCGUUCACUCUGCCUGGAAACCUUCUUCCAGAUACCCGUAUGACCAACUUCCUCGCCUCGCCUUCGGGAGUCAGCUCAAAAUUCGCCUUCUAAAUGGACCCUACGCUGACGCCCCUAUUUAACACUGCAACUCAUCCCUUCAUCUUGUUCUACUCCCCCCGCCCCCUCACCGCACCUUCUAACUUACAGUAUUCUAUGCUUAUUUUUUCUUGUCUUCAUCCCCAGCAGUAACCCCUCCACCGCUCCACCAAGGGGCCUUGUCGAGUGAACUCUUCUCUGCCGCUCAAGUCAAGACACAGGCAUCAGCAUCAGACUGACCUGGGCUCCAAGCUUACCACGCUGCCUGAUGGCUGUGCAUCCCUGGAUAAGUCACUUUACUUCUCUGAGCACGGUGUCCUCCGCUAUGGUGGGUACAUUACAGCUAGGUCACGGGGUUAUUGGGAGGCAAAGCUGAGAGAAGGCUCCUUAGGCUUUCAGCCCCAAAUCUGCUUGAAUUCUGUGAGUUGCCCCUGGACCCUUCAGAGAAAUUCCCUCUUUUGCUUAAGCUGUCUUGAGUUGGACUUUUACUUGCUACCAAACCAAAGCAAACUGAAAAACCUUAGAUUGAUAAGCCUCCUAUUACUUCCUGGAUAAAGCCCAAUCUUCUUAGCAUGACAUCUAAAGUCCUACACAAUUUGACCUCAGCCUACUUAAAAAAAAUAACUUAAAAAACAACUUUAUAGAAAUAUUUAAACACAAAAAUCCACCCAUUUUAAGUGUACAAUUGGAUGAGUUUUGAUAAAUAUGCAAUCAACCCCACAGUUGAGAUACAGAACAUUUUCAUCACCCCAGCAAGUUCCCUCCUGCUCCUUUCCAGCUCAUCUGGCCAGAACCAGGCAUCCCCUCAGGCUGAGAAUGUGGCCCAGGAUGGAAGGUUCUGGAGGAAACAGUUGUCUGUGGUGACUUAGGAGAAAAUGUAGCUAUCAUGUUAAGAAAUUAAGUAGGUUAUAUA